GUCGAACGGGCUUUCCUGCUGGUUUUUGCUGGUGGGUUGGUUAGUGGCGAACGGGUGAGUAACACGUGAGUAACCUGCCCUCUUCUCCUGGAUAACUGCUUGAAAGGGUGGCUAAUACGGGGUGGUCUGGCCUGCCUGCAUGGGUGGGUUGGUAUAGGUUCAGCUGUUUUGGUUGUUCCGGUGGGGGAUGGGCUCGCGGCUUAUCAGCUUGUUGGUGGGGUGAUGGCUUACCAAGGCUUUGACGGGUAGCCGGCCUGAGAGGGUGGACGGUCACACUGGGACUGAGAUACGGCCCAGACUCCUGCGGGAGGCAGCAGUGGGGAAUAUUGCACAAUGGGCGGAAGCCUGAUGCAGCGACGUCGCGUGAGGGAUGGAGGCCUUCGGGUUGUGAACCUCUUUUUCCGGUGGUGAAGGCCUGUCCCGUUGUGGGUGGGUUGACGGUAGCCGGGUUAGGAAGCGCCGGCUAACUACGUGCCAGCAGCCGCGGUAAUACGUAGGGCGCGAGCGUUGUCCGGAAUUACUGGGCGUAAAGGGCUUGUAGGCGGCUGGUCGCGUCUGCCGUGAAAUCCUCUGGCUUAACUGGGGGCUUGCGGUGGGUACGGGCUGGCUUGAGCGCGGUAGGGGAGACUGGAACUCCUGGUGUAGCGGUGGAAUGCGCAGAUAUCAGGAGGAACACCGGUGGCGAAGGCGGGUCUCUGGGCUGUUGCUGACGCUGAGGAGCGAAAGCGUGGGGAGCGAACAGGAUUAGAUACCCUGGUAGUCCACGCUGUAAACGUUGGGCACUGGGUGUGGGGGCCCUUUUCCGGGGUUUCCGCGCCGUAGCUAACGCGUUAAGUGCCCCGCCUGGGGAGUACGGCCGCAAGGCUAAAACUCAAAGGAAUUGACGGGGGCCCGCACAAGCGGCGGAGCAUGCGGAUUAAUUCGAUGCAACGCGAAGAACCUUACCAAGGCUUGACAUGGGCUGGUUGCUGCC
rnacentral:rRNA from 1 species